GGUCUUAUAUUCACAGAGUGAUAAUAAAAUGCAAUUUUAUUGGGGUAAAAAGAUUACUAAGGCCU
rnacentral:tRNA from 1 species